GCCAAAGUUCACAUUAGAUAGCUGUCGCCUUACAAUCUUUUUUGUAGGGACAUAUUCAAAAACAAAGGCACAAUGAAUGAUAUUAAGGGCAGGUGCGCCACAUUGGGGGAAGAUGCAAAGCAGAAAUACAUUCAAGAGGCAGCAGCACCAGUGGCGAAGCCAGGAUGUUUUUAUAGGGGUGGCCAAGUAAGGGCCAGCAACCAGUCUGGGGUGGCACAGAAAUCUUCAUUAUUUUAUAUAAAAAAUGUGUUUGACUAUAAUGUAGGCAUAAUGGGCUAUUUUAGUGCCUUAAACACAACUGAGUACAAUUAAUUUUUUUAUUAUUCCUCACCUCCAGGUAUUUUAAAAAAGGGGCUCACUUUAACUUUAUUGCUCAUUCAGCUUCUCAAAACUUGUAAAUGCUUGUUCUCCAACAUUAAUCAUGGAUGAGGCGUGCAAUGAUAAAAA